GACAGAGGAUGCAAGCGUUAUCCGGAAUCACUGGGCGUAAAGCGUCUGUAGGUGGUUCAAUAAGUCAACUGUUAAAUCUUGAGGCUCAACCUCAAAAUCGCAGUCGAAACUAUUAAACUAGAGUAUAGUAGGGGUAAAGGGAAUUUCCAGUGGAGCGGUGAAAUGCGUAGAGAUUGGAAAGAACACCGAUGGCGAAGGCACUUUACUGGGCUAUUACUAACACUGAGAGACGAAAGCUAGGGUAGCAAAUGGG
rnacentral:rRNA from 1 species